rnacentral:rRNA from 1 species
GACGAACGCUGGCGGCGUGCUUAACACAUGCAAGUCGAACGGAAAGGCCCUGCUUUUGUGGGGUGCUCGAGUGGCGAACGGGUGAGUAACACGUGAGUAACCUGCCCUUGACUUUGGGAUAACUUCAGGAAACUGGGGCUAAUCCCGGAUAGGAGCUCCUGCUGCAUGGUGGGGGUUGGAAAGUUUCGGCGGUUGGGGAUGGACUCGCGGCUUAUCAGCUUGUUGGUGGGGUAGUGGCUUACCAAGGCUUUGACGGGUAGCCGGCCUGAGAGGGUGACCGGCCACAUUGGGACUGAGAUACGGCCCAGACUCCUACGGGAGGCAGCAGUGGGGAAUAUUGCACAAUGGGCGGAAGCCUGAUGCAGCAACGCCGCGUGCGGGAUGACGGCCUUCGGGUUGUAAACCGCUUUCGCCAGUGACGAAGCGUGAGUGACGGUAAUGGGUAAAGAAGCACCGGCUAACUACGUG